UACAGAGGGUGCGAGCGUUUAUCGGAAUUACUGGGCGUAAAGGGUGCGUAGGUGGUUCGAUAAGUCAGAUGUGAAAUCCCUGGGCUUAACCUGGGAAUUGCAUUUGAUACUGUCAAACUAGAGUGUGGUAGAGGUAAGCGGAAUUCCCGGUGUAGCGGUGAAAUGCGUAGAUAUCGGGAGGAACAUCAGUGGCGAAGGCGGCUUACUGGACCAACACUGACACUGAGGCACGAAAGCGUGGGUAGCAAACAGGAUUAGAAACCCCCGUAGUCC
rnacentral:rRNA from 1 species